rnacentral:rRNA from 1 species
UACAGAGGGGGCAAGCGUUGUUCGGAAUUACUGGGCGUAAAGGGCGCGUAGGCGGCCUGCUAAGUCGAACGUGAAAUCCCUGGGCUCAACCCAGGAACUGCAUCCGAUACUGGAUGGCUUGAAUUCGGGAGAGGGAUGCAGAAUUCCAGGUGUAGCGGUGAAAUGCGUAGAUAUCUGGAGGAAUACCGGGUGGCGAAGGCGGCAUCCUGGACCGACAUUGACGCUGAGGAGCGAAAGCUAGGG